rnacentral:lncRNA from 1 species
AAAAUUAUUCAUUCAAGAUAUCUAACUUUAAUUAUACAACGUUAUCUUGAUCUCUAAAGUUCUUUUGAAAUAAAGUAAUGCAAGGGAAAAGUAAAGGCGAUAGUUGAUAUUACUAUUCCUCUUACUUUACACAUUAUAAAAUAACCAAACGGCCCACUAUUAUAUACUCCCUCCGUCCCGCUAAUAAUGACACGUUUUCCUUUUUGGGUUGUCCCGCUAUUGAUGACACGUUUUCUAUUUUGGAAAAAAUAAGGAAGCAAUUAAUGUUAAUUAAAACCCUAAUUGAAAGCCUAAUUAAAACAACUUUAAAAUAAAAAACGUGUCUCUCUCUCAUCUGAAUUGGAACCUAGAAUUCAAAGAGACUAUCGGCUCUCUCUCUCUCUGCGCCUCCGCCCUCACCUUCUCCUCUGCCGCCUUCUCUCUACUGGACGCUGAAACUUUGUUCGCUGGAGUGGUGUGAAGGCCGCCUUCUCCUUCACUGGCCUUUCCUUUCCUCUCCCACCUUCCUUUCCUCUUCCUGCAUCACGAUUUGCUUCCAUCUUGCUCCCCUCUCCGCCUUCUCUCAGCCACGCUUUGAUGUGCUUCGCCGGAGACGGCAGCGGUAAUGGCCGCUUCAGGAACCAGAGAGAAUUACAUGCCAGACGCCAUCACUGGCUAAAAUGAUGC